GACGAACGCUGGCGGCGUGCCUAAUACAUGCAAGUCGAACGCAGUGGGGACGGGUGAGUAACACGUGGGUAACCUCCCAUCAGAGGGGAUAACACUUGGAAACAGGUGCUAAACCGAUACUGAUGGAUGGACCCGCGGUGCAUGAGAUAGUUGGUGAGGUAACGGCUCACCAAGGCCACGAUGCAUAGCCGAGCGGGAGUGGUGAUCGGCCACACGGUGACUGAGACACGGCCCAGAUUCCUACGGAAGGCGGCAGGAGGGAAUCGUCGGCAAUGGAAGAAAGGCUGACCGAGCAACGCUGCGUGAGUGAAGAAGGUUUUCGGAUCGUAAAACUCUGUUGUUAUAGAAGCGGUAUCUAACCAGAAAGCCACGGCUAACUACGUGCCAGCAGCCGCGGUAAUAC
rnacentral:rRNA from 1 species